UACAGAGGGACCAAGCGUUGUUCGGAUUUACUGGGCGUAAAGGGCGCGUAGGCGGUGUUGUAAGUCACUUGUGAAAUCUCUGAGCUUAACUCAGAACGGCCAAGUGAUACUGCAGCACUAGAGUGCAGAAGGGGCAAUCGGAAUUCUUGGUGUAGCGGUGAAAUGCGUAGAUAUCAAGAGGAACACCUGAGGUGAAGACGGGUUGCUGGGCUGACACUGACGCUGAGGCGCGAAAGCUAGGGGAGCAAACGGG
rnacentral:rRNA from 1 species